UGCUGUUGUGUACCAGAAUGCAGUAAUCGAGGUGGACAUGUGUUUCCCUCUGAUCAAUCAAGAAGAAAAAUUUGGAUCCAUGCAAUUAAACGCGGCGAAGCCCGUUUUCAAAGUUGGGAACCUAAGACACAUGCUGUUGUAUGCAGGGCACACUUUAAAGCUGAUGACUACGUAACUGAAACUCAACACGACACUGACACAUGCAUGCCAAUAUUUGACUCCCGCUGACAUUCCCGAUUACACUUGUGAUCCAGUAAACAAGAAGCAUGUCUGGCAGCUCUAUAAAACUUCUGGAACUACACCCCUGAGUAAAAGACUUAAGAAAAGUGCGGUCCCUAGUAUUUUUUCCUGGGUUGAGCCAAGUCCCCAUUCACAAGCCAGAUCCGAU